UCCGUGUUAACCACGGCAGUCUCUUUAGAGUGCUCAACUAAAUGUGGCAACUAAUGGCAAGGGUUGCGCUCGUUGCGGGACUUAACCCAACAUCUCACGACACGAGCUGACGACAGCCAUGCAGCACCUGUGUUACGGCUCCCUUUCGGGCACCCUCACAUCUCUGGAGGCUUCCGUACAUGUCAAGGGUAGGUAAGGUUUUUCGCGUUGCAUCGAAUUAAUCCACAUAAUCCACCGCUUGUGCGGGUCCCCGUCAAUUCCUUUGAGUUUUAACCUUGCGGCCGUACUCCCCAGGCGGCUCACUUCACGCGUUAGCUACGGUACCAAGGAAUCGCUUCCCCAACACCUAGUGAGCAUCGUUUAGGGCGUGGACUAC
rnacentral:misc_RNA from 1 species